CAUGCACCUGAGAACAAGAGAUCAGACUUAGACUGUUGGAUUUGCUUCUUACCAGCUUGUGAAGCAUUGAGCAAAAUGCUUAAAUCCUCCAGGCCUCAGUUUCCCCUCUAUUAAAUGGAGAUUGCUAUCUACCUCAUAGGGCUAGAGUGAGGAUUAAAGGAAUUAAUUCCUAUUAAAUGCUUCGAAGAGUUGCUGACACAUAGUAGUGCUCAGUAAAUGGCUUAGGAUCUGCAGUAAUAUCCCAACAUUUCAGCUCCAGGACAGCCGGCUUGACUCAGAAUCUUAGAAGCAGCUCAUCAACAGGGAUCAGAUCAUCGAGGAAGAGCUUGGCAGGGCUGGCUGGGCUCACUCAUUAGUCUACAGUUUGGCUGGGCUUGCUCACGUGUCUACAGAUGGGGAAACUGAAGACAGGAGGAAUGGGCACUCAGCUAAUUUUGAAAAAGGAAGAAAUGAAUGUUCACUUGGAAGCCAAAAUGCUGUGAAACUGAGGCUGCGACACCUUGGUUUCUUCUUUAAAGUGGGAGUUAUCAGACCGAAUUUCACUACUUCUGAGGAUUGUGGAGCAGGAGGAAUGAGCUAAUAGAGCCCAUUCAAGAAUUACCUGAGUUGUUCCCUUGGAAAACCAUGGCCUAAGAAGAUCCAAUGAGCGUCACAAGAUGGAUGAAGUCCAAGUAGCUUUCUUAAGACAAGCGGUGGAAGCCACAUGGUUUUCCUCGUUAUGACUAUGGCAGCAGACUCAACAGGUACACUGGGAGCAGGCCACUGAAGGAUGAGCAAAUUGAGCUGCAUUUAGGAUUUGUACAUCCUAAAAUCUUAAAAUAUUUUUCUAACAUUUUGGGUUUGGCAUAGCAAAGUGUGCCAAGAUUCCUUUCCUUUCAUUUUUAAACCCACAUGUAUUUUCAGGGAAAUUAAGCUCAUAUGUUUCUGAUUCAUUUACUGUAUAACUCAUCAAAAUAUUGUUUUAUAACAGUUCUUGGCAGUCCAUGAAACCUUUUAAAAUAUAGACUUUUC
rnacentral:lncRNA from 1 species